rnacentral:rRNA from 1 species
CAGUGGGGAAUAUUGGACAAUGGGCGCAAGCCUGAUCCAGCCAUGCCACGUGAGUGAUGAAGGCCCUAGGGUUGUAAAGCUCUUUCACCGGAGAAGAUAAUGACGGUAUCCGGAGAAGAAGCCCCGGCUAACUUCGUGCCAGCAGCCGCGGUAAUACGAAGGGGGCUAGCGUUGUUCGGAAUUACUGGGCGUAAAGCGCACGUAGGCGGAUCGAUCAGUCAGGGGUGAAAUCCCAGGGCUGAACCCUGGAACUGCCUUGGAUACGGUCGAUCUGGAGUAUGGAAGGGGGGAGUGGAAUUCCGGGUGUAGAGGUGAAAGUCGUAGAUAUUCGGAGGAACACCAGUGGCGAAGGCGGCUAACUGGGACAUUACUGACGCUGAGGUGCGAAAGCGUGGGGAGCAAACAGGAUUAGA